GACGAACCGGACAAACGUUAUUCGGAAUUACUGGGCUUAAAGGGUUUGUAGGCGGCCUUGUAAGUCAGGUGUGAAAUCCCUCGGCUCAACCGAGGAAUGGCGCUUGAUACUGCACGGCUUGAGGGAGACAGGGGUAAGCGGAACUGAUGGUGGAGCGGUGAAAUGCGUUGAUAUCAUUUGGAACGCCAAUGGUGAAAACAGCUCGCUGGGAAUGAUCUGACGCUGAGACGCGAAAGCCAGGGGAGCGAACGGGG
rnacentral:rRNA from 1 species